rnacentral:rRNA from 1 species
AGCUAGAGUUUGAUCCUGGCUCAGGACGAACGCUGGCGGCGUGCUUAACACAUGCAAGUCGAACGGGGUAGCAAUACCCAGUGGCGGACGGGUGCGUAACACGUGAGGAACAUGCCUAUCGGCGGGGGAUAGCCGGCCCAACGGCCGGGUAAUACCGCGUACGACCAUCGGGUGGCAUCACCUGAUGGUGAAAGCAGCAAUGCACCGAUAGAGUGCCUCGCGGCCUAUCAGCUAGUUGGUGAGGUAACGGCUCACCAAGGCGACGACGGGUAGCUGGUCUGAGAGGACGAUCAGCCACAUUGGGACUGAGACACGGCCCAGACUCCUACGGGAGGCAGCAGUGGGGAAUUUUGGACAAUGGGCGCAAGCCUGAUCCAGCCAUGCCGCGUGCGGGAAGAAGGCCUUCGGGUUGUAAACCGCUUUUGUCAGGGAAGAAACGGCUCUUACUAAUAUUAGGAGCUAAUGACGGUACCUGAAGAAUAAGCACCGGCUAACUACGUGCCAGCAGCCGCGGUA